CUAUCCUAAACCAAAACGACAUUUCCUUUGCUCAACAAAACAACGUCAAUGGCUGUAUCUCUCUCUCGAGUCUCAGUUUUUUUAUUUCGUCUGAGAUUUCUCCUUCUCAAACCCUCUUCACUGUUAUCAACUUCUUCGGUUCUUCCUCACUUUCACUCCCAUCUUCCCUUUAAAGCUUUGGGAAUUUCGUAAAUUUUUACAGGAUAUUAUGACAAGCUUUGUAUCGCCUCAUUGUUGUAAUUUGUCGGUUGGGGUUUCGGAACACGUUUCCAGCAGCAGGGGAAAGUUUCAUAAGUCUCCAAGACUGAGAUGUUGCGGUCCAUAUUUUCAUAUCGGCGGGUUUAGUUUUUUCCAGGGUCAGUGUCAAUGUUUUUGCUUCUUGUACGGCCCCGAGAAGUCGUCGGAGAUGUUGUCCGAUCUUUUCCAGCGCCGUGGAUGACGGUGGCGCUGAAUCGGAUGAUGCUGACGAUGGGAAUGAUCCGACAGAAUCUUCACAAGGGGGAAAUAAAAGAAAAAACAGUGAUAUGCUUCGGGAAAACCUUGAACGAAUAGUUGGCACGGAUGAUUCCACCUUUAGUGGCUUAGACCUUGCAACUCUUAUUAGGAACAAAUAUGGCAGGUCUUAUGAUGUUCAAUUGAUAAAGAAGGAGUUCAUGGGAAGAAAUCUCUUUGCAAUGAAUGUUAUGUGGAAGUACAUGGAGCAGGAGCACCAACUCCAACAGCGGAAAUAAGGGACCCGACCGGUUCUUCAAAUAUAAUCAGCUUGCUGCUCCGUUUCUCCAGCUUGUCGG